UGAGAUAGAGGGGUUUUAGUCGGUAGGUCCGAGGACCUCUUCCUCGGGAAUCCGAAACUACCCAGUUGUACGGACGGCUGGGUGUCUUUUGAAGAUUUUUCCCCUCU
rfam:Agrilus planipennis Contig52522, whole genome shotgun sequence.